rnacentral:rRNA from 1 species
UAAGCCAUGCAUGUCUGAGUACAAGCCAAAUUAAGGUGAAACCGSGAAAGGCUCAUUAAAUCAGUUAUGGUUCCUUAGGUCGUACCCACAAUUACUUGGAUAACUGUGGUAAUUCUAGAGCUAAUACAUGCAAACAGAGCUCCGACCGGAGACGGAAGGAGCGCUUUUAUUAGAUCAAAACCAAUCGGUAGCGGGUUCGCUCGUUAUCGUACAACUUGGUGACUCUGAAUAACUUUACGCUGAUCGCACGGUCAUCGCACCGGCGACGCAUCUUUCAAAUGUCUGACUUAUCAACUGUCGAUGGUAGGUUCUGCGCCUACCAUGGUUGUAACGGGUAACGGGGAAUCAGGGUUCGAUUCCGGAGAGGGAGCCUGAGAAACGGCUACCACAUCCAAGGAAGGCAGCAGGCGCGCAAAUUACCCACUCCCGGCACGGGGAGGUAGUGACAAAAAAUAACGAUACGGGACUCAUCCGAGGCCCCGUAAUCRRAAUGARUACACUCUAAACCCUUUAACGAGGAUCAAUUGGAGGGCAAGUCUGGUGCCA